UCAGCCCCUUCAGCAUUAAAAUUUGGGGACAAUAUAAAAUUAUUUUAAAAAGCUAGCAUUAAAAACCACAAGGAAACACGAUAGAGAUUACAUUCACUAAAAUAGCAUUACAUAAAAAGUCAGAGACAAAAUGAAAAUCUCGUAAUUGACCAUUCAAGACUAAACCAUGAUUAGCCAGAAAUGCUACUUGAUUAAUUACCUUCUCUCAAGAUAUGUGACUAUAUGAAAACACCACCAUUGAGGCCAAACUCCUUAAUGCACUGCACAAUUUGGAAGCAAGGGUGAGAAGGCAGCUACAUCCAUUAUUCAACAGAUUAAUCGAAAUCGUAAAUCCAAUUCAACAAUAAAUUCCUUAAAGCCACGACUCCAUGCUACACGAAUGCCAUAUAAAAUGGCCCACAAUUCCACAGCCAAAACUGAGCAUCUCCGAUAUCUGCAGCAUAGGAAAAAAGCACAGCUCCACUGUGAUUUCGAAGGGCACCUCCACUAUGAUUCCUUAAAGCCACGAUCUCAAGUAUAUUUCAUAACCCGUCUUUUUUUUUGGUAGAGAUU
rnacentral:lncRNA from 1 species